CUCAGUUUCUGUUCGGAUUGUGUGAAAGUUGUGUUCUCAAAGCCUCUUAAAGAGGCCCGGCACUCCAAGUCCUCACAGGAAGCACGAUGCUGUCGACCAGAGAGCAGCAGCAGACAUCUGAAACGCUCUGUGGGAACGAGGACAUGAGCAUGCAGGGGGUGGUCUGGGAGCUCCAUCCUCUUUGAGACGAUCCCAUGGAAACGCGCUGGACGUGACUGAACCCUGACAUUUCAGGAAAUGCGAGUCGUGACUGUAAACGUGAACUGGAACAGAAGAGUUCAACAGUUUAGGAGCCGCUUAGCUCUGAGCUUUAAGGGGGAAUCUUCUCAUGGAGGACGUCACAAGGUUUGAAUGCUUCUACCUGUACCUGCUCCUCCAACCUCACAAUGACCAACUACCACUGAUAUCUCGCUGCCAUCCCAGCAUGCACCAUCAACCCAUAAAACCACAGCGAAAUGGCAGGCUUGAAGAUACCGUGAUGACAUCCUACAUCACCAGAGCGUCCUGUAAUCUGUCACACCAGACCUUUUGUGAGAAGAACAAAGCCCGUCUGAUUUAACUGCCUCCUGAUAUGAAACAGAUCAGAAAUGUACCAACAUGUAAUGACUUCCAGGCUUGUAUUUGCAAUACAGACGAGGAUCUUCUGUUCAUUUCCGCUGACAUGCAUGCUUUCUUUCUUUCUUCUCUUUAUUUCAAGCCGCAUUCAUCAACUAUCAAUCUUGUGUGAAAUGUGUCAAAAACUAGACGACAAAUCAACAAAUAACCCACUUAGUAACUUGUCAGUCUUUAGUCAUUCAAUCCAGUGAUGUGUGGGUAGACUUUAAAACUUCACUGACCUGAAGCAACCAAUAGGGUUUGGAGACAAAAACAGGACACCAAGAGCUGAGGACACACAAAACCAGACGCUUUUCAACAGCUAAGAGGACUUUUUCAUGAGUCACACAGCAUUGCAUUUGUAUUCUUACAUCAAUCCCAGAAUCAGAUUACAAACUAGAUUCAUUCCUCACCAGCAAUCUCCAUCGUUAGUUACAGUUCAUGGGAAUACUUGUAUCAUGUGAGGCUAU
rnacentral:lncRNA from 1 species